UACGUAGGCAGCGAGCGUUGUCCGGAAUUAUUGGGCGUAAAGAGCUCGUAGGCGGUUUUGUUGCGUCGGCUGUGAAAUCCCGAGGCUCAACCUCGGGUCUGCAGUCGAUACGAGCAAACUAGAGUGUUGCAGGGGAGACUGGAAUUCCUGGUGUAGCGGUGAAAUGCGCAGAUAUCAGGAGGAACACCGGUGGCGAAGGCGGGUCUCUGGGCCGUAACUGACGCUGAGGAGCGAAAGCGUGGGGAGCGAACAGG
rnacentral:rRNA from 1 species